rnacentral:tRNA from 1 species
GCCCUGGUAGCACAAUGGUUAAAGUGCUUGGCUGCUAACCAAAGGGCUGGUGGUUCAAAUCCACUCUAUGGCU